GACGAACGCUGGCGGCGUGCCUAAUACAUGCAAGUAGAACGCAGUUGCGAACGGGAGAGUAACGCGUAGGUAACUACCUAGUAGAGGGGGAUAACUAUUGGAAACGCUAGCUAAAACCGCAUACUAGAAGCUGGACGUGCUGUGUAUUAGGUAGUAGGUAGGGUAAUGGCCUACCUAGGCAACGAUACAUAGCCGACCUGAGAGGGUGAUCGGCCACACGUGGACUGAGACACGGCCCAGACUCCUACGGGAGGCAGCAGUAGGGAAUCUUCGGCAAGGUGGGGAACUCUGACCGAGCAACGCCGCGUGAGUGAGGAAGGUUUUCGGAUCGUAAAGCUCUGUUGUUAAGGAAGCGGUACUUAACCAGAAAGGGACGGCUAACGACGUGCCAGCAGCCGCGGUAAUAC
rnacentral:rRNA from 1 species